rnacentral:rRNA from 1 species
UACGGAGGGUGCAAGCGUUAAUCGGAAUUACUGGGCGUAAAGCGCACGCAGGCGGUCUGUUAAGUCAGAUGUGAAAUCCCCGGGCUUAACCUGGGAACUGCAUUUGAAACUGGCAGGCUUGAGUCUUGUAGAGGGGGGUAGAAUUCCAGGUGUAGCGGUGAAAUGCGUAGAGAUCUGGAGGAAUACCGGUGGCGAAGGCGGUUAGCUGGGCAGUUGCUGACACUGAGGCGCGACAGCGUGGGGAGCAAACAGG